UCCGGCAUAGCUCAGUGGUAGAGUAGGUGGCUGUUAACCACUUGGUCGUAGGUUCGAAUCCUACUGCCGGAGCCA
rnacentral:tRNA from 2 species